rnacentral:lncRNA from 1 species
UGCAAAAAAACCAAAAAUAAAAGUCGAUAUGAAGGCUUUCGACACGGGUAAGUGAGUAAGCAAAACUGUCAAAGGGGUUAAGUAGUAUACCGACCCUAGAAUGUAAGGAGAAGAUACGGGGAGUGCCUGCAUCUCGCUAUGCACUGGUUUGCCCAAAAUAGGUGUAAAAAGGUUGCUAAGAAUCCUACUCCUUACCACAUUGGAUAGUGCUUUUUCAUAAAAAAGAGACCUCCACAAGUCCAAAAUAUUAGACUCUAAUGUCUCCCUAGCAUACCCAUGCUCCUCUGAAACAUCCUCAGCGGGCCUCAGAUUAUCCUCUAGCUUCUUCAGCACAUCUUGCUUGUAUUUUUUAAUAGCCGACAAAAAUACUCUGUUAUCAAAGGAGCUAUCUUUUCUUCUUAGAACCAUAUCCAGGCGAUGCAAAACUAUGAUUCCGUCAGCAAAAUCCUUCCAUGUGUUUCUGAUCAAUUCCCAUUGGACCGAUUUGCCACCAUCCUGAUACACGCCCUUCUUGGGUUUGAUAUGUUUAGAGUAGAUAUAGUAAAUGACACAAAGAACCCUUUCUAACACGGGAUUCCAGGCCGGUAUUACACCUCUCCAUAACUUAUAGCAGAACCAUAAUAAAGUAUGAAUGUCAUCACACAAUAAGAACAUCGCUUUAGCAAUCGAUAGUGAGAGCUCAACUCCUAGUCGCACAACCUCCUCAUUUGGCUCCUUUAUUGCAAAAUCCUUCCUGCAAAACAAAAACAAAAAAAGUCAACAUGAAGGCUUUUUGACACGAGUAAGUAAAACUGUCAAAGGGGCUACGUAGUACUACUGACCCUAGAAUGUAAGGAGAAAAUAUGGGGAGUGCCUGUAUCUCGCUAUGCACUGGUUUGCCCCAAAUAGGGGUAAACAGGUCGCUAAGAAUCCUACUCCUUACCACUUUGGGUGUUACUUCUUCAUCAAAGAGAGACUUCCACAAGUCAAAAAUGUUAGACACUAACGUCUCCCUCACAAAACCAUGCGCCUCUGAAACAUCUUCUGCGGACCUCAAUUUAUCUUCUAGCUUCUUCAGCACAUCUUGCUUGUAAUUUUUAAUAGCUGAUGAUAAUAGUCUGUCAUCAAAGGAGCUAUCUUUUCUUCUUAGAACCAUAUCCAGGCGAUCCAAAAUUACGAUUCCGUCAAGAAAAUCCUUCCAUGUGUUUUUGACCAAUUCCCAUUGGACUGAGUUGCCACCAUCCUGAUACACUCCAUUCUUCAAUUUAAUAUCUUUUGUGUAGGCAUAAUGAAUAACACGAAGCAGCCUUUCCACCACGGGACUAUUACCAGUCACGUCCCUUUUUGCAUCCCUGCAUAGUCUAUAGCAGAACCAUAACAUAAUACGAAUGUCAUCACACAGCAAGAACAUCGAUUCAGCUAUAAACAGCGAGAGCUCAACUCCUAGUCGCACAACCUCCUCUUUCAGUUCCUGCAUUGCAAAAUCCUUCCUGCAAAAAAAAAAAAGAUAUAUCAAUAUGAAGGCUUUUUGACCCGAGUGAGUGAGUAAGCAAAACUGUCAAAGGGGCUAAGUAGUACUACUGACCCUAGAAUGUAAGGAGAAGAUAUGGGGAGUGCCUGCAUCUCACUAUGCACUGGUUUGCCCAAAAUAGGUGUAAAAAGGUUGCUAAGAAUCCUACUCCUUACCACUUUCGAUAGUGGUUUUUCAUAAAAGAGAGACUUCCAAAAGUCAACAAUGUUAGACUCUAACG